rnacentral:rRNA from 1 species
GACGAACGCUGGCGGCGUGCUUAACACAUGCAAGUCGAACGGAAAGGCCCUGCUUUUGUGGGGUGCUCGAGUGGCGAACGGGUGAGUAACACGUGAGUAACCUGCCCUUGACUUUGGGAUAACUUCAGGGAACUGGGGCUAAUACCGGAUAGGAGCUCCUGCUGCAUGGUGGGGGUUGGAAAGUUUCGGCGGUUGGGGAUGGACUCGCGGCUUAUCAGCUUGUUGGUGGGGUAGUGGCUUACCAAGGCUUUGACGGGUAGCCGGCCUGAGAGGGUGACCGGCCACAUUGGGACUGAGAUACGGCCCAGACUCCUACGGGAGGCAGCAGUGGGGAAUAUUGCACAAUGGGCGGAAGCCUGAUGCAGCAACGCCGCGUGCGGGAUGACGGCCUUCGGGAUGUAAACCGCUUUCGCCUGUGACGAAGCGUGAGUGACGGUAAUGGGUAAAGAAGCACCGGCUAACUACGUG